rnacentral:rRNA from 1 species
CCCUUAGACGUUCUGGGCCGCACGCGCGCUACACUGACCAGUGCAACAAGCAUCCGUCCUUGGCCGACAGGCCCGGGCAAUCUUUGAACGCUGGUCGUGAUGGGGAUAGACUUUUGCAAUUUUUGGUCUUCAACGAGGAAUUCCUAGUAAACGCAAGUCAUCAACUUGCAUUGAUUACGUCCCCGCCCUUUGUACACACCGCCCGUCGCACCUACCGAUUGAAUGGUCCGGUGAAGCCUCCGGAUUGGCGCGCACCUCGGUGCCGCCGAGAAGUUGGCUAAACCUUACCAUUUAGAGGAAGGUGAAGUCGUAACA